CGGUGUUUCACUGCCGGCUGCGUGGUCGGAUCUUAACUACGGUCCGGAACGUACCACGGGCGUUCCUCACAAGAACGAGGUUGGUCCGCUCGACCGCGCCCAUGACGCUUGCUCCCCGUUGGAGCCGACGCGGAUGAUGAUGGGGAAGAGGGAGCGAAACACCAUCAAAAUUGCAAGGAAGAGGCAGCAAGAACGUCCCAACCGUCUCCGCCUCGCAACUUGCGGGGAUUAAAAGGAGAGACGGAGUGAUCGAUCGAGCGACAUGGAUUUCCCACCGGAGAACGACAUCUGUUCCGUCUGCCAUGAGGACUUCACUCUCCCUUGCCAGGCCAAUUGCUCCCAUUGGUUCUGCGCACAUUGUAUUUUGGGGGUUUGGCAUCAUGGAUUUGCCCGUGAGCCAUGCAAAUGCCCCAUAUGUCGCCGUACGAUAACUCUACUGAUACCUGCUGAAGCUGUGCAACAACAGCGCCAUGACCCCGAAGUUAGUCAAGUCCUUGGAAACGUUGAAAGGUACAACCGCUUGUUUGGUGGAGGUUCGCCCAACCUCAGUCAGAUGUUGCAGGACCUUCCAUUUUUCCUUCGAAGGAUGUUAACAGAACUGAUGGAUCCUCAGAGAUCACUUCCCUUUUUUUUCAAGGCACGAAUGGUUUUGGCGUUUUUAGCCAAGUAGCAAGGAAAAGUUCAACUCCAUGCUCUGCUUGAUAUUGGCACAACCACAACUUCUAGAUGAUUUGAAUGAUCAAUUCAGGAGUAGCUCUUGUUGUUUCUGUAUGCUGGAUAAUUUGGAAGGUAGAAUGCCUUUUUUUUUUGUCUCUCAGUGUUGUUGAUUUUGGAGUAGGUUUUUUGAAACAUAGUUAGCUGAAAGAUGCUAUCUGCAUCAUUUAUUGAUCACAUUCUCUAUCAGCCAGAGUCUAUCUUCAGGAUUUCUUUUAAAUAUUUCAAGAGAGAGGGUGUUUAAGUAAGAAAAAUGAUCACUCCUGGAGCAUCAAGUAUUUUAGAAAUAAAGGAUUCAUAAUGAGAGAAAGCAACAUCUAAUAAACGAUCUUAUUUAUUGCAUGCAAAUAAAGAACGAAACCAUUCUAGCAUAUUUAGAGACAAUGAAACUCUUGAUUAGAUAAGCAAUGUAUGCAUCAAUACACACAUAACGCUAUUUACAGGUACGUAUGUCUGUACACAUCUUGAGUUGAUGGACCUAAACACUUCCUAGUUUAUAUUCCCUUCUUUUCUGGAAAAAGAGAACCUUUAAACAACAAGCCACAAAUAAUUAUGAAUCUUGACAGGUUGCUAUUCGCUUUUAUAAUUAUAUAAUGAUGCUGAAGAGUGCUAGUCUUACAUUUAGUUUCCGGCAAGAUUGUGAUACAGAGAUUACUAUAUUUGGUAAAGUUGCUUGUCUUCGUGAGGUAAGGAGAAUAGCUUUAGUUGGAGGCUAUAACAUGCAUAGCAGGAGUGACAACUCAUCAGCCAGGAGCAAGGUUUCAAGAUCACAUGGUUCAGAAUAAACUGCCUGAUAACAAGAUGUCCUGAAAGGGGUAUAUUCAGUGUUAGGAUGUCUAGAAGGUAGCAGAUCUGAUUUUUAGUGAAUCUUGUUGAGAUGUGGGAUGCCUAAUAUUGUAGUUAAGAAAAGAUUGGAAACAUUAUCAUAUUUGGCAAAAGAAUUUGCGUCUUUGUAGACUCUAUGAAGACAUAACAUAUUAGUAAUAGUAUAAUGUUAGCCUGUUGGGUUCCACAGCCUUU